rnacentral:rRNA from 1 species
AACGAACGUUGGCGGCGUGGAUUAGGCAUGCAAGUCGAGCGAAUCCCAGCAAUGGGGGAAGCGGCGAAAGGGGCAGUAAGGCAUGGGUAACCUACCCUGGGGACUGGGAUAGCCCUUCGAGAGAAGGGGUAAUACCGGGCGACGUGCCGAGGAGGCAUCUCCUUGUCACCAAAUGAGUUUCGCCCUGGGAGGGGCCCAUGUGAUAUUAGCUAGUUGGUGGGGUAACGGCCCACCAAGGCGAAGAUGUCUAGCGGGUGUGAGAGCACGACCCGCGCCACUGGCACUGAGACACUGGCCAGACACCUACGGGUGGCUGCAGUCGAGGAUCUUCGGCAAUGGGCGCAAGCCUGACCGAGCGACGCCGCGUGUGCGAUGAAGGCCUUCGGGUUGUAAAGCACUGUCGAGAGGGAGAAAAGCGCAAGCUUGAUCUAUCUCUGGAGGAAGCACGGGCUAAGUUCGUGCCAGCCGCCGCAGUAAUAC